rnacentral:rRNA from 1 species
UACGUAGGUGGCAAGCGUUAUCCGGAUUUAUUGGGCGUAAAGGGAACGCAGGCGGUCUUUUAAGUCUGAUGUGAAAGCCUUCGGCUUAACCGGAGUAGUGCAUUGGAAACUGGUAGACUUGAGUGCAGGAGAGGAGAGUGGAAUUCCAUGUGUAGCGGUGAAAUGCGUAGAUAUAUGGAAGAACACCAGUGGCGAAAGCGGCUCUCUGGUCUGUAACUGACGCUAAGGUUCGAAAGCGUGGGUAGCAAACAGG